AACGCACAUUGCGCCCACCAGUAUUCUGGUGGGCAUGCCUGUUCGAGCGUCGUUUCAACCCUCGGAGCCCAUCUGGGUACCGGCGUUGGGGAUCGACCGCCGCUGUUGGCGGUCGGCCCCGAAAUCGAGUGGCGGCCUCGCCGUAGCCUCCUCUGCGUAGUAGCACACACCUCGCACUGGACGGUCGGCGCGGCCUCGCCGUGAAACCCCCAACUUUUUAAGGUUGACCUCGAAUCAGGUAGGACUACCCGCUGAACUUAA
rnacentral:misc_RNA from 1 species